CAUCCCGCGCAUUCCAACCCAAUCUUUUCUCCACCCCGCACGGCCGGCCGCCCCCAUCUCGUGGUCAGAGCGGUUUCGCUUAUUUUCCCCUGUUGAUUACCCAACAAAGCACCGGAAUCGUUUCCUUCUCACUUCAGUUUCUCCCCCACCAUAAAUCUUUCCCCAAUCCUCGUGGUGUGGCGGCUGGACGGCAAUCUCCUCGCGUCAAUUCCGCCGUUGUUACUCCCCUUCGAUGCCUCCCUGCGCGAUGUGACGCGGGCGGAGCUGCGGUUCCAUCGCCGCCCACCGAGAACAUUGAGUUGCGCAACCAAAUCAGGUUGUGUGCACUCCAUCACUCUGCUCAUGACCCUCCUCGCGCCGGAAGCAGCCAUCCCUGCCGCGGCGCUCGAUCUGAAAAAUAGUUCGCGUUCCGGCAGGAGGAGCUCGCCAAGGAGAAGCUGCUGGGACGGUAGGCAUCCACGAGGGCCGCCUGUUCCUCUUCUACAAGGCCCCCCAGGAGUGGUCAUCCCACGUUUAGGCCGACCGCCUCCCCGCCUCCUUGCUGCAGGUCAUAAGCCUAACCCGAACAAGACCGUACGCUGAAGGCAUGCCCAUUGAUGCCAUUUUAUUUUCAGUAACAGUGGGUAUGUCAUGUACACAUACUUUUUCUGACUAUCAAAUCAAACAGAGAUUGGGUUUUUGAGCUACAUAUCCGCGCCUCAAGCCCUCGCCGAGUUGACAGAUGGUUUGGACCUUUCUUGAUUAAUGCAACUCCGUUAAAUUUCAGCGUUCCUGCUUUCACAUUUAUUGCAAAUAUGGAGGGUUGUUGAUUAUUUCUUCAGGUAUAUAUGUUUUGCAAGAUUUCAGUCGAGAUCGAGUAUAGCAGUUUCUCUGUCAAUGAUUUCAAAUAUCAAAACCUUUGCACCCCGUUGGCACCACAUGUCUUUAUAACAUUAUCCAUUCAUUAAGUCCAUUUACAUAUAAACAUGGAAUGUUCUCAAAGAUAAUCUCUUUUUUUUUUCAGAGUAUUCUCAAAGAUAAUCUCAACGCCACACAUACGAUCAUAUAGUUCUUGACUCAACCAAAUGAAGCAAUUUCAUUAGAGUAGAUAUUUUACUAAAUGGCAUUCAUGUUAAUCCUUUCAUGCACGUCAGCAUAUGUCGUACCACCACCAGAUAGCCAACAUUUUUUUCUUUCCUUAAUGUGCACCUCCCAGUUAGUUGAUUGGCAAGUUUUAGUUCUCAUACUAUUAAUUCAACUAUUCACAUUUCGUGUAACUAAAUCUCACUGAACUAUGUUACAAGCAAUUCCAGCAGCAACGCGCGGGGUAUCAUCUAGUUACAGACAAAGUGAUGGCAUCACAAUUAGCGUUAGGAACUGCAUGUGAUGGUGAAAGUCUAAUAAAAAGAUGCGGCACUGCAUUCCUUUGGUCAGCGGUGUUCAUAUUUUUGCAACUCAUUCUCUUGGACGUGAUUACCAAAUAGCCUGUCCUGUACUGAUAUGGUAUUGAUUAUGAACGUGAUUGAUUCCUUUAUUUUAAUUUAUA